GAGGCUAGGUUGCCACAGUCAGGGACCGAGGAGGGUGACCCGGUGAGGGGCGCAGAUGAAGCACUGCCCUCUGGGGCCGGGCCAGGCACGGUUAUUUAUAACCACGGGUCGCCUUACCUCCUGACCUUCAGCUGGGGCCCGGCGAGCCGCGGCGAUUAGCAUCUCCUGCCGCCCAUUAUGAACAAACACCCCUGUGUGCCCGCCCCGGGCCCUGCAGGAAGCAGGAUGUUGGCCGGAACUGGUGCCCCGUGGCUCCCUCAGGUGAACCCGCCACGUGUGUCUUUACAGCAUGCGACAGAGCAGGGGGAGCGGAAGUUCCUGGAGUCUACAAGCUUCCCCACCACUGCCUCCGUCAUCGCAUUCCAGAACCCAGAACCAAAGGCCACCUCCUGAGUCCACUGGUCCCAUCCACUGGCCUUUAGGGGCAGGUCCACCCUGGGUGAUGCCAGAGAGGCCCCAUGGAGAAUGUCUCUGAAGGCUCACCUGCCAUCCUAAAGUAGACUCUUCCCAGGUUCAAGAAGGAAAAGAUAGACACUCCAGGGAAGCACGGCACCCAGAGAACUCAACAAUUUCUGUCUUCUUUUUAAAGAAAUAAUUUUUUAAGUGUUUACUUAUAUUUGAGAGACACACACACACAGGUCCCAGGUAACCUCCCCAAGACAGAAAUGUAGACUGCCUACAAAAUAAAAAGCCUGUGUCCACAGAAGCAGAACAGGCCAACAACAGGUGGCAAAAGGCAGCAGCUGAAAGUUCGCUCUGGGACCUGUCCCUCACCCGGGCUAGCCAAAGGGUGCCUGCACAGGAUGAAAUGAACUCUUCGAUGCGAAAGAGAAUAUGGGUCUCCUCCGCUGUUGAAUUUUCAUGGAACACCCCUUGUCCUUAAAUUGGGGAGGGCAGAGCAACAGAGAAAGGUAUUCACCGAAAGGUCCGAUGUAGGCCCAUGUUACCUGUGCUUCCUAACCCACUUCUUUUAGGACAGACAACGUCUAGAACACUGCUGGACUGGAAAUAAGAAUACGCUGCAUUGGGGCACCUGAGUGGCUCAGUCAGUUGGGUGUCUGACUUCGGCUCAGGACACGAUCUCACGGCUCGUGGGUUCGCGCCCCGCAUCAAGCUCUGUGCUGACAGCUCAGAGCCUGGAGCCUGCU